UCGGAGAUGGAUGAGCCCGCGUUGGAUUAGCUAGUUGGUGGGGUAAUGGCCUACCAAGGCGACGAUCCAUAGCUGGUCUGAGAGGAUGAUCAGCCACAUUGGGACUGAGACACGGCCCAA
rnacentral:rRNA from 1 species